ensembl:lncRNA
CAGUUACCAUGGUGAUGUAGCUGUGCAGCAUCAGUUACCAUGGUGAUGUAGCUGUGCAGCAUCACAUCAGUUACCAUGGUGAUGUAGCUGUGCAGCAUCAGUUACCAUGGUGAUCUGGCUGGUUCAGUUAGAGCCACCUUCAUAACUUUGAUAAAACUCUGACUUUAUUCUCUUCAUACCUCCACAUUAAUCUCUCAUUGCGCUAAAGAGCAACAAAAAUGUUCCCAAAAUGCAAUAACUUAAAUAAAAUUCUUUACCUUCCUAAUGUCAGCUUAUCGGUGCAUCUAUAGCCUACUCAUUCUUCUUCCUCAUCAUGAGCUGCAUCCCAGCAUCGUGCGUUUGCUUUCAGACCUCGUACCAUCUCUGUUUUCUGUGCAUCUUGUGAUUUGAAAGCAGUUUUCUAGCAGAUGUAAUGAUGCACACUGAACAUCAAAGCUCCGCAUACUGACUGUCUCCUCUCUUAUAGAACACCAGCACAUUUUAUUAGUGUGAUUUUCAGCCGUCCAAAUAAUUACCGUCAUUACAUUUUAGCUUGCGUGAUUAUAUAUCUGAACAUAUCCAUUAAAUACUUGUAAACACAGUUAAAACAGCCUGGAGGGAAGCAUUGAUCCUAUUUUCUGACAGCUUCUGUAUGCAAAGAGCACACGAGCUGGAAUAACUCAAAGAAAACACUAAAAAAAAAACAGUCAAACAGCUGAAAUCAUGGCAGCAGUGUCACAGCGAACCACAUCCUCACAUCCCGAGUUCAGUCCAAGUCCAGCUGUUUGCCAAAACUCCUGCCAGGAACCACAUAUCCAACUAUUUCCCUUCAAUCCGCGUCCAAAACUCAAAAUCUCUCUUCAGUUGCUACUACAAUCCGAGCACAGGAAACACACUGCUCUGUUGUUUUUUUCUCUCUUUCUGGCUUCGUGUUGUAUGAAAACAUUUCUUAUAUUUAAUUUGACAGGAGUUGUUUGAUUACAUUUGUUCCACAAAUAAAAGGCGUUUUUUUUAUUCCCUCCAAGCCGCCUGUCAGGUUUCUUACUGUAUCUG